CGGGAUGUAGCGCAGCUUGGUAGCGCAUCCGCUUUGGGAGCGGAGGGUCGCAGGUUCAAAUCCUGUCAUCCCGACCG
rnacentral:tRNA from 1 species